rnacentral:tRNA from 1 species
UAGCUCAGAGUUAGAGCAUAGGAUUUAUAUGCCUAAAGUCCCAGGUUUAAUUCCUGG